rnacentral:rRNA from 1 species
AACGAACGCUGGCGGCAGGCCUAACACAUGCAAGUCGAGCGCACCCUCGGGUGAGCGGCGGACGGGUUAGUAACGCGUGGGAACGUGCCCAGAUCUGCGGAAUAGCCACUGGAAACGGUGAGUAAUACCGCAUACGCCCUUCGGGGGAAAGAUUUAUCGGAUUUGGAUCGGCCCGCGUUAGAUUAGGUAGUUGGUGAGGUAACGGCUCACCAAGCCUACGAUCUAUAGCUGGUUUUAGAGGAUGAUCAGCAACACUGGGACUGAGACACGGCCCAGACUCCUACGGGAGGCAGCAGUGGGGAAUCUUGGACAAUGGGCGCAAGCCUGAUCCAGCCAUGCCGCGUGAGUGAUGAAGGCCUUAGGGUCGUAAAGCUCUUUCGCCAGGGAUGAUAAUGACAGUACCUGGUAAAGAAACCCCGGCUAACUCCGUGCCAGCAGCCGCGGUAAUACGGAGGGGGUUAGCGUUGUUCGGAAUUACUGGGCGUAAAGCGCGCGUAGGCGGACCAGAAAGUUAGGGGUGAAAUCCCGGGGCUCAACCCCGGAACUGCCUCUGAAAUUCCUGGUCUAGAGUUCGAGAGAGGUGAGUGGAAUUCCGAGUGUAGAGGUGAAAUUCGUAGAUAUUCGGAGGAACACCAGUGGCGAAGGCGGCUCACUGGCUCGAUACUGACGCUGAGGUGCGAAAGUGUGGGGAGCAAACAGGAUUAGAUACCCUGGUAGUCCACACCGUAAACGAUGAAUGCCAGUCGUCGGGUAGCAUGCUAUUCGGUGACACACCUAACGGAUUAAGCAUUUCCGCCUGG